rnacentral:rRNA from 1 species
GUGUCAGCCGCCGCGGUAAUACGUAGGGUCCAAGCGUUAAUCGGAAUUACUGGGCGUAAAGCGUGAGUAGGCGGUUUCGCAAGUCCGAUGUGAAAUCCCCGGGCUUAACCUGGGAACUGCGUUGGAAACUACGAAGCUAGAGUGCGGCAGAGGGGGGUGGAAUUCCAGGUGUAGCAGUGAAAUGCGUAGAGAUCUGGAGGAACACCGAUGGCGAAGGCAGCCCCCUGGGUUAGCACUGACGCUCAUACACGAAAGCGUGGGGAGCAAACAGGAUUAGAAACCCUCGUAGUCC